AAGUCGUAACAAGGUUUCCGUAGGUGAACCUGCGGAAGGAUCAUUGCCGAUCGGACGCCACGCAAGGAAGCUCUCACGGGCCAACUUGCGCGGUGUCUUUUUCGACCAACCCAUGUGAACUCGUUUUAUGUGUUUAACAAAACUCACACCCCUCACCGGGAGUGCGUUUUGUCCAAACAUUUUACGACAAACCACAUUUCAUUAAACUCUUGACUGAGACAAUACAGGUCACGCCUAAAAAACGUUGAUCUCAAAAACCUAACCAUUACAACUUUUAACAACGGAUAUCUUGGCUCGC
rnacentral:misc_RNA from 1 species